CUGAAAAAUAAUGUGACAUUGGGAAGUUCAAAUGAUACCCAGCCAACACAAGAACCGAAGAAAAGUGCAUGCCUUUACGUGCGCCGUCAAAAAAACUUUGAUCCCGAUUCUGAAAUUCAGAAAAAAGGCACGAAGAGCAAAAAUAAAAAACAUUAUACUGAAAGUUCGAUUUACAGUGAAAGUAUGAGUUUCCACGACGUUUCAAUACAAGUAAUCUCAAUCUAUAAAUUUUAGGAAGAAAAAUGUGAUUUAGAAGAUGAAA